rnacentral:rRNA from 1 species
CUACGGGGGGCUGCAGUGGGGAAUAUUGGACAAUGGGGGAAACCCUGAUCCAGCAAUGCCGCGUGUGUGAAGAAGGCCUGCGGGUUGUAAAGCACUUUCGGUUGGGAGGACUGCUUCUAGCACUAAUAUUGUUGGAAGUUGACGUUACCUUCAGAAGAAGCACCGGCUAACUCCGUGCCAGCAGCCGCGGUAAUGCGGAGGGUGCAAGCGUUAAUUGGAAUUACUGGGCGUAAAGCGCGCGUAGGCGGCUAGAUCAGUCGGGUGUGAAAGCCCCGGGCUUAACCUGGGAACUGCAUCCGAUACUGUCUAGCUUGAGUACAGGAGAGGAGAGUGGAAUUCCACAUGUAGCGGUGAAAUGCGUAGAUAUGUGGGGGAACACCAAUGGCGAAGGCAGCUCUCUGGCCUGAUACUGACGCUGAGGUGCGAAAGCGUGGGGAGCAAACAGGAUUAGAUACCCUAGUAGUC